AUGUUGUUGCUUGCUUGUUCUGCCAGUGGUUUUGUUCACUUCCUUUUCUAUUUAUCUACUGCAUUCUUUUCUUUCCUAUGUGUUGUCAUGGAUAUUAGUUUCGAUUGUGUUUAUAUUCAGGAUUUGGCACAGAGUUUUGUUCUAUUUUGGCUCAUGCUUGCCGCUUGUGUGAUUGAACAUAUGGUGUUUUGUCUACUUAACCAUUUGUGUGUAGUAGUAUUCAUUUUAUCCUUGAUCAUGUGCGUAUGUACUACUGAAGUAGUUUUAAUUGAUAUAAAAGUUUUCAUGUAUUGCAGCUAUUUGACUUUGAGCAACCACAAUCUACAAGGAACGUUAGGAGUAAAUUAUAAUUUUCCAUCUCGAAAGCGUUUUGUAUGCAGAAUUGGUUAG
rnacentral:rRNA from 1 species